UACGUAGGGUCCAAGCGUUAUCCGGAAUCACUGGGCGUAAAGCGUGCGUAGGUGGUCUGUUAAGUGAGAUGUGAAAGCGUGUGGCUCAACCAUAUCGUUGUGUCUCAUACUGACAGACUAGAGGAUGGCAGAGGCAAGUGGAAUUUCUCGUGUAGCGGUAAAAUGCGUAGAUAUGAGAAGGAACACCAAUGGCGAAGGCAGCUUGCUGGGCCACCCCUGACACUGAGGUACGAAAGCGUGGGGAGCGAACAGG
rnacentral:rRNA from 1 species